CCAAAUAUCUAAACGGAGAAAUUCAAUAUUGUUUACGCAAUGUGCACUUUUCUCUUAGUAAGACGCCGUGAUCCAUUAGAAAGUGGUGCGUUCCAAGCGCAUAGUGAGUCAUCAAUAGGCCAGUGUGAAGUUUGUCCGGAACGAAUGGCAURAUCUUUUACGGUUGUGUGUAUCGUCUGGUGAGCGCAUUGAUACCUGCAAUGACUGUCUGAUGGAUUUUAUAGGUCACAUCAAUGGUGCCUCGUGUACCAAUGCAUUCGCAUAUUCGAUGUGUACCCGAUCAACGGCGGUUCAGUUUGGGAUACCUUUUGGACCCGUCUUGAAACACGGACCAAGGAGUCUAUCUAGUAUGCGAGUAAAUGGAUAUGUUUGAAAUCUAUUUGCGUAAUAAACGUAACUGUGUUGUGGGAUUACGAUUAGAAGAUUCGCAAGAAUCUCUUUUCUUCCAUCCCGGGGUAUUUUCAUCAACAUAUGCGCAAGCAUAUGGAAAAUAUACCAUGAGCACACUGGAUACGACCCGAAAGAUGGUGAACUAUGCCUGAUCAGGUCGAAGUCAGGGGAAACCCUGAUGGAGGACCGAAGCAGUUCUGACGUGCAAAUCGAUUGUCAGAAUUGGGCAUAGGGGCGAAAGACCAAUCGAACCAUC
rnacentral:rRNA from 1 species